rnacentral:rRNA from 1 species
GACGAACGCUGGCGGCGCGCCUAACACAUGCAAGUCGAACGGAGUCAAGAGGAGCUUGCUUUUCUUGACUUAGUGGCGAACGGGUGAGUAACGCGUGAGUAACCUGCCCUGGAGUGGGGGACAACAGUUGGAAACGACUGCUAAUACCGCAUAAGCCCACGGAUCCGCAUGGAUCUGCGGGAAAAGGAUUUAUUCGCUUCAGGAUGGACUCGCGUCCAAUUAGCUAGUUGGUGAGGUAACGGCCCACCAAGGCGACGAUUGGUAGCCGGACUGAGAGGUUGAGCGGCCACAUUGGGACUGAGACACGGCCCAGAAUCCUACGGGAGGCAGCAGUGGGGGAUAUUGCACAAUGGGGGAAACCCUGAUGCAGCGACGCCGCGUGGAGGAAGAAGGUUUUCGGAUUGUAAACUCCUGUCGUUAGGGACGAUAAUGACGGUACCUAACAAGAAAGCACCGGCUAACUACGUG